AAAAAAAAAAAAAAAAAUCCUUGAGUUAGCCUUUCUUCAAUUUAAUAGCACUUAAUAGCAUCUGUACUUGCAAUAGUUUUAGCCAAAAUAUUACUCAGACAUUUAUUGUCCUCUCCUCUCUCAUUGUAUUCAACAGUAGCCUGAGUCAUAGCUAGAUACAGCAAGCAGAAGAGACUCUGAAGAAAACUCUGAAGUCUGCUCUUCUAUACUCAAGGAUGACACAAAAGCCAUGUUCCAAUAAAGCUGAUGUGCCUGAUUCAUUCAAUCCAGGAGUGAUAUUCAAUAAAUCAUCUGGUCUUUGGUCACUCUACCCAGAGACUGCAGCUAAUCUACAAUCUAAGGGGCUGGGAGUGUAGAAGACUCUAGUGCAAACUGGAAUAUUGAUCAGAUUAUACGGAGUUAAAAGUCUUGUUUGAAAGGCAUCUUCAGUGGCUAAAGACAAUUCACUAAAACAGAGGAUGGAGUGUGUCAAGGAAGUCUGAGCAAAAGCACCUCUUACUUGAAUUGAGACUUUCUAUAAAUUAUUUGACAAUUAUAUAGGAAAUAUAUCAAAUUAUAAUAGUAAAUAUUUAAAGACCAACACAGGAAUACCAGAAGAAAUAUCAUUCACAUGAUUCAGGGCAUUUUCCAGCCUCUAACUGAUGGAAUUUACAAGGAAAUUUUUAAACUCCUUUUUUUUUUUUUAAUCAUUCCUCUUAACAGAUGAUACAGCCUUUGUCAGAAGCAGAGGACUAAGCCAGACAUCUCACUGAUCUAUUCUACUUUCAUAGACUAGAGUUUAAGCACUGCGCAUACCUAACAUCCUGAAUAUUUCUCAGUGUCAUAAGGAUGAUAACUAAGACUGUCAGCUCCAUAGAAAUAGAGUGAACAAAGUGCAGAAUUCCUAGAAGAUUAGCUAUGGAAAGUCAUCACUGUAAAAAAUUUACAGUGGAUUAUAGUAGAUAUUUAUAAAUGGUAAAAUAAAAGAGCUAUAGCACAGCAAUAAGAAAAAGAGUAUCAUAAAAUUUAGUUUAAACAUAUGCUGAUACACAAACAAUACUAUGUCUGUAAUUGAAUAAAGAUUAUCUUCUUUAAUUAGGGCCUCACUAUAAAGGUAUUGUGAGCCAAAUCUGAAGUAUGAUAUAAGGAACUAGAGAGUAUAUGCCAUACUUUCCAAUUAUAACAGCAUACACCACAUUUCCAAGCAUAACAGAUUGCUGGAAGCCCCUUUGCUUCUACUUUUUAAAUCACACAAAUAAUAAUGCUUUCGCAGAAAUAUGUAUUAACCUACCCACUCUUCCCAUUUUUCCUUCCUUUCAGCCCUUUCCGCAGCUUCUUUACGCUCUUGCUCAGCUACUUCUUCAGCUUCUUUGACAAGGUGCUUCUCAGCUGCUUUGCGUUCUAAUUUUUCCUUUUCUUCAUCUGUCAAACCAUAAUUCCGAGGUUCCCCAAUUUCUUUGAUGAUCUCUUUUACAAUAAUUCUAUUCUCAGGAUCUUCAAAUUUGGCUACAUCUUUCAAACAAUACAAGAGACAAAUUUUCAGGGCUUUUGUCAAUUAUCAGUGAUCAUUAGUGAAAAACUGCAAGACCUAACAAUAUAUGGUGCCCACAUUGUUUGAAUUUUUCAUUAUAAGGUGCUGUUUUCAGGUAUCUAUAACUGACAAUUUUUUGAUAUAUAAAAUUAAAUUUUCUAUGUCUGAGUUUCUUUAAUAGUUUCAGCUAACAUAAUUUGUCUUUUCAAGAUGAUGGUACAGAGAAAUGUAUUUAAAUGAUUUUUAAAACUGUUUUGCUCAA